UCUACAGAAGAACGCAGAGAUGUGUUGUGCCUUCGGGAACUGUAAGACAGGUGCUGCAUGGCUGUCGUCAGCUCGUGUUGUGAAAUGUUCGGGUUAAGUCCCGCAACGAGCGCAACCCUUGUCCUUAGUUGCCAGCAUUCAGUUGGGCACUCUAAGGAGACUGCCGGUGUCAAACCGGAGGAAGGUGGGGAUGACGUCAAGUCCUCAUGGCCCUUAUGUCCAGGGCUACACACGUGCUACAAUGGCCGGUACAAAGGGGCGCAAGACCGCGAGGUGGAGCAAAUCCCAAAAAACCGGUCUCAGUUCGGAUUGGAGUCUGCAACUCGACUCCAUGAAGUUGGAAUCGCUAGUAAUCGCGUAUCAGCAUGACGCGGUGAAUACGUUCCCGGGCCUU
rnacentral:rRNA from 1 species